rnacentral:rRNA from 1 species
GACGAACGCUGGCGGCGUGCUUAACACAUGCAAGUCGAACGGAAAGGCCCUGCUUUUGUGGGGUGCUCGAGUGGCGAACGGGUGAGUAACACGUGAGUAACCUGCCCUUGACUUUGGGAUAACUUCAGGAAACUGGGGCUAAUACCGGAUAGGAGCUCCUGCUGCAUGGUGGGGGUUGGAAAGUUUCGGCGGUUGGGGAUGGACUCACGGCUUAUCAGCUUGUUGGUGGGGUAGUGGCUUACCAAGGCUUUGACGGGUAGCCGGCCUGAGAGGGUGACCGGCCACAUUGGGACUGAGAUACGGCCCAGACUCCUACGGGAGGCAGCAGUGGGGAAUAUUGCGCAAUGGGCGGAAGCCUGAUGCAGCAACGCCGCGUGCGGGAUGACGGCCUUCGGGUUGUAAACCGCUUUCGCCUGUGACGAAGCGUGAGUGACGGUAAUGGGUAAAGAAGCACCGGCUAACUACGUG